GGUAGUCGUGGCCGAGUGGUUAAGGCGAUGGACUUGAAAUCCAUUGGGGUCUCCCCGCGCAGGUUCAAAUCCUACGAUUUUUA